rnacentral:rRNA from 1 species
AAUCUUGCGCAAUGGGCGAAAGCCUGACGCAGCCAUGCCGCGUGAAUGAUGAAGGCCUUAGGUUUGUAAAAUCCUUUCACCGGGGACGAUAAUGACGGUACCCGGAGACGAAGCCCCGGCUAACUCCGUGCCAGCAGCCGCGGUAAAACGAAGGGGGCUAGCGUUGCUCGGAAUUACGGGGCGUAAAGGGCGCGUAGGCGGAUCGGUAAGUCAGAGGUGGAAUCCCAGGGCUCAACCCUAGAACUGCCUUUGAUACUGGCGAUCUUGAGUAUGAGAGAGGUAUGUGGAACUCCGAGUGUAGAGGUGAAAUUCGUAGAUAUUCGGAAGAACACCAGUGGCGAAGGCGACAUACUGGCUCAUUACUGACGCUGAGGCGCGAAAGCGUGGGGAGCAAACAG